GGGUGCAGAUCUGAUAGAUCUGAUCAAUUCGAAAGAAAUUUUUUGUAUAGUUUUUCCACGGGAGUGCUCAAGAUCAGAGCAAUUUGUUCAGAUCGGAUUGAGGUGUGAAAAAAAAUUCAGAAGGAAAAAUUUUUUUUUUCGCGAAUGAAGAACAUGAUGAACAAUGUCCGAAUUGGGUGACAGACCUAGAUUCAGAAUCGGGUCGGGUACAGAACGCAACGGAUUGACACGGGGGUCAAGAGUCUAUGUUGCGAGUCGGAUCCAAGCAGAACCCGCUGGGUCAAGGCGCGGGUCAGCAUCUGGAUCAGCUAGAACACGUGCGGGUCGCAUGUGCAGUGGAUCAGGGAUCCAGGUCGAGCCGCAGAUCCUCCCCGUGAAGCACUGAUGUCAUCCUGAUAGGUGCUGACGUCAGAAGAGAGAGAAAAAAAAAAGGAGAAAGAAAAAAAAAAUUUAAAUGGCGAGUACUUCGACAGCCAAGUUCGAGGUAGAGCCCUUUAAUGGAAAAAAUAAUUUCAGUUUAUGGCAGAGCACUGUGAAGGAUGUGUUGGUCCAACAGGGACUUAUUAUGACACUUCAUGGGAAAGACAAGAAGCCAGAGACCAUAUCAGAUGAUCAGUGGGAGGAGCUAGAAAUGAAAAUGGUAAGUACCAUUCGCUUAAGUUUAGCUCCAUAUAUUAAAUACAGUGUGUUGAAUGAAACAUUACUAGCUGAGCUUUGGAAAAAAUUAGAGAAUAUUUAUAUGUUCAAGUCCUUAGUUAAUCAACUGUAUUUGAAGAAACAAUUGUAUCAGUUGAGGAUGACUUAGGGCACAGAAGUUAGAGACCACCUCAAUUAUUUCAAUAAGAUAAUCACGCAGUUGCUGAGUA